GGUUGAUCCUGCCAGUAGUCAUAUGCUUGUCCUAAAGAUUAAGCCAUGCAUGUGUACGUUCAAGCCCUUGUACGGUGAAACUGCGGAUGGCUCAUUAUAUCAGUGAUAAUUUGGUUGGUGGAGAAUACUGUGGAUAACCGUGGUAAUUCUAGAGCUAAUACAUGUGGAGCAGACGGGAGUCUGGCAUUUAUUAGAUAAAGCCUUGGCAAGGGGACAACUCGUUCCCUGCGCAGGUGAGUAAUGAUAACUGGGCGGAUCGCAGAAUGCUGCGACGCACCAAGGAAAUUUCUGC
rnacentral:rRNA from 1 species